GAUGAACGCUGGCGGCGUGCCUAAUACAUGCAAGUCGAACGCAUUGUGGUUGAAAUGAUAUGAAGAACUUGUUCAGAUUUGAUUUUCAACAUUGCAAUGAGUGGCGAACGGGUGAGUAACACGUGGGAAACCUACCUCUUAGCAGGGGAUAACAUUUGGAAACAAAUGCUAAUACCGUAUAAUAUUAAAACCGCAUGGUUUUAGUUUAAAAGAUGGUCUUGCUAUCACUAAGAGAUGGUCCCGCGGUGUAUUAGUUAGUUGGUGAGGUAAUGGCUCACCAAGACAAUGAUACAUAGCCGAGUUGAGAGACUGACCGGCCACAAUGGGACUGAGACACGGCCCAUACUCCUACGGGAGGCAGCAGUAGGAAUCUUCCACAAUGGACGAAAGUCUGAUGGAGCAACGCCGCGUGUGUGAUGAAGGGUUUCGGC
rnacentral:rRNA from 1 species